rnacentral:tRNA from 1 species
GGGCCUGUGGUCGAUCGGUAAGACGCUACUCUCACACAGUAGAGACACGGGGUUCAAUUCCUCGCGGGCCCA